rnacentral:tRNA from 1 species
GCUUGUCUAGCUCAGUUGGUAGAGUGUAAGGCUCAUAACCUUGAGGUUGUGGGUUCAAACCCUACUCUGGGCG